GCAGUGGUGGUUCAGUGGUGGAGUUCUUGCCCUCCACGUGGGAGACCCAAGUUUGAUUCUUGGCCACCGCA
rnacentral:tRNA from 1 species